AAAAAUGAAAUUUUGAUUACUUUCAAACGAUAUAACUUUCAUAAGUUUAUGUUGAUUAACCAAUUAGCAACCCAUCAGAGCAAACUCUUUGUCUUCCAUUUUAUCGAAAACCAUUGCUCUCGUCGAUGUGCAACAAUCAGUACCUAUUUUGUAGGAAAAAGUAUGUAGUUUUAAAAAAAUGAACCACGCUGUGAAAAAAAUAACCUCAAAAUGUUCAAAUACUGACAAUUACACGUUAGCAAAAAUUGUGAUUUUUGUAAAAUCUAAAUUAGUGAAACAUAUGGAAAAAUGUGAUGUGUUACAAUGUUACCAGCGUAGAUUUGAGACUCUAAACUUGCCAAGCGAAGAAACUUUUUAAUUCUCUGCGGAAAAUUUAGAGGAGUACUGUAACCGCCUCGAAUUUUGAUACACCAAUUUAAUAACACCCUGUAUAAGUAGUAGUCUUAAUAUUAAUAAGUAAAUGAUAUGGGGAUGAAAAAUACAAUCCGACAACCCCUCCGUGCCAGCAGUCGUCGAAUCAAUAUCAGGCAAGGUCGAAGGCGGCAGAAAUUGGGCCGAUCAAGGCCUAGAAUCGCGAUGCCGCCUCUCGCUCUUUCGCGAAAAUAUGCAACUCCCACGCCGCUUACCCCAAAAAAAAUAGUGACUAGAGAAAAAAGCAAGAGCCGAAGGGAAGACGUGAGCCCCAGUCGAUUUUCUAAUGUUUGCAUCAUCGUUGAUUGAUCCGUAUAUCUGUUUAGGAUUUUUUAGAACUCGUGUCGUUCAAUAUAAAAACAUUUUUUGGAGGAAAAUAAAAUGAUAAAACUUAA